rnacentral:rRNA from 1 species
UGGGAAUUUUGGACAAUGGGCGCAAGCCUGAUCCAGCCAUGCCGCGUGCGGGAAGAAGGCCUUCGGGUUGUAAACCGCUUUUGUCAGGGAAGAAAUCUUCUGAGUUAAUACCUCGGGAGGAUGACGGUACCUGAAGAAUAAGCACCGGCUAACUACGUGCCAGCAGCCGCGGUAAUACGUAGGGUGCAAGCGUUAAUCGGAAUUACUGGGCGUAAAGCGUGCGCAGGCGGUUUUGUAAGACAGAGGUGAAAUCCCCGGGCUCAACCUGGGAACUGCCUUUGUGACUGCAAGGCUUGAGUGCGGCAGAGGGGGAUGGAAUUCCGCGUGUAGCAGUGAAAUGCGUAGAUAUGCGGAGGAACACCGAUGGCGAAGGCAAUCCCCUGGGCCUGCACUGACGCUCAUGCACGAAAGCGUGGGGAGCAAACAGGAUUAGAUACCCUGGUAGUCCACGCCCUAAACGAUGUCAACUGGUUGUUGGGAAGGUUCCUUCUCAGUAACGUAGCUAACGCGUGAAGUUGACCGCCUGGGGAGUACGGCCGCAAGGUUGAAA